GAUGAACGCUGGCGGCGUGCCUAAUACAUGCAAGUCGAGCGAACAGACGAGGAGCUUGCUCCUCUGACGUUAGCGGCGGACGGGUGAGUAACACGUGGAUAACCUACCUAUAAGACUGGGAUAACUUCGGGAAACCGGAGCUAAUACCGGAUAAUAUAUUGAACCGCAUGGUUCAAUAGUGAAAGACGGUUUUGCUGUCACUUAUAGAUGGAUCCGCGCCGCAUUAGCUAGUUGGUAAGGUAACGGCUUACCAAGGCGACGAUGCGUAGCCGACCUGAGAGGGUGAUCGGCCACACUGGAACUGAGACACGGUCCAGACUCCUACGGGAGGCAGCAGUAGGGAAUCCUCCGCAAUGGGCGAAAGCCUGACGGAGCAACGCCGCGUGAGUGAUGAAGGUCUUCGGAUCGUAAAACUCUGUUAUUAGGGAAGAACAAAUGUGUAAGUAGCUAUGCACGUCUUGACGGUACCUAAUCAGAAAGCCACGGCUAACUACGUG
rnacentral:rRNA from 1 species